rnacentral:rRNA from 1 species
CACGUAGGGCGCAAGCGUUGUCCGGAAUUAUUGGGCGUAAAGAGCUCGUAGGCGGUCUGUUGCGUCUGCUGUGAAAACUCGGGGCUUAACCCCGAGCCUGCAGUGGAUACGGGCAGACUAGAGGUAGGUAGGGGAGAAUGGAAUUCCCGGUGUAGCGGUGAAAUGCGCAGAUAUCGGGAGGAACACCGGUGGCGAAGGCGGUUCUCUGGGCCGAUAUUGACGCUGAGGAGCGAAAGCGUGGGGAGCGAACAGG